rnacentral:rRNA from 1 species
UACGUAGGUGGCAAGCGUUGUUCGGAAUUAUUGGGCGUAAAGGGCGCGUAGGCGGUUUGUUAAGUCGGCUGUGAAAGCCCUCGGCUCAACUGAGGAAGUGCAUCCGAAACUGGCAGGCUAGAGUACUAAAGAGGGUCGCGGAAUUCCCGGUGUAGAGGUGAAAUUCGUAGAUAUCGGGAGGAACACCGGUGGCGAAGGCGGCGACCUGGGUAGAUACUGACGCUGAGGUGCGAAAGCGUGGGGAGCAAACAGG